UACAGAGGGUGCGAGCGUUGUUCGGAAUCAUUGGGCGUAAAGGGCGUGUAGGCGGUUUGUUAAGUCAUGUGUGAAAUCCCUCGGCUCAACCGGGGAACGACGCAUGAAACUGGCAAGCUAGAGUACCAAAGAGGAAAAUGGAAUUCCCGAUAUAGCGAUAAAAUACGUAGAUAUCGGAAGGAACACCUGUGGCGAAGGCGACCCCCUGGUUGGAUACUGACGCUGAGACGCGAAAGCGUGGGGAGCAAAC
rnacentral:rRNA from 1 species